AGCCAUCAAGCCGUCGUGUACGAUACAAGGGCCGAGUCAUCAGGGCAAUACUCCGAGUUGGAUUCUCUAAAAUUACAGCCGCUGUUAGCAUCAAGCAAAGAUCCGUUUGCCUUACUCAUCUUCAAAGAGAAAAAAAAGAGGAAGAGAGAGGAGGUAUCGGCUGAGCCAUGGACAAGGGAGAAGGAGCUAGAUGCGGACACGGAUUUCUUUUUUCCACCAUCGUGACCUGUGAGGUCACGUCGGCUGGCCGCAUGCCUUGACUCCGCCUCUCCUACGACCCACUCUGCU
rnacentral:lncRNA from 1 species